GACAGAGGGUGCAAACGUUGUUCGGAAUUACUGGGCGUAAAGCGCGUGUAGGCGGCCCUGCAAGUCGGGUGUGAAAUCCCACGGCUCAACCGUGGAAGUGCAUUCGAAACUGCAGGGCUAGAGUCCUGGAGGGGAAGGUGGAAUGCUUGGUGUAGAGGUGAAAUUCGUAGAUAUCAAGCGGAACACCGGUGGCGAAGGCGGCCUUCUGGACAGUGACUGACGCUGAGACGCGAAAGCGUGGGGAGCAAACAGG
rnacentral:rRNA from 1 species